UAUUCUUUUCCUCUCUAUUCAAGCACACACCCAAAGAUUUGGUAGCAUCACAUUCAAAUCAAAAGCAUAACACACAACAAUCGGUAAAACCAAGCGCUGUUGGUUAGAACAGUGCAAAUCGAGCAUCUUCUUCAAGAUUUUUGACUUGCUGUCGUGUGAGAGGGCGGGGUGAAGUGGCUCUUGGUCUUCCCAUCAAGCACUAUUAGGGGCUAUUUUGGAUAGUGAUCAGACUGCCAGGGCAGGGGGAAAUUUCAUCCACAAUCCUUGCCUUGGUUGCUUGAUUUUCUUGGGCCUUAAUGGGCUUCCAUUUUGGGUUUCAAUGGGGUUUGGGUUGCUAUCAAGCCCAAAUCUAAUUUUUCUAGGCCCAAUAAAAUUACCAAGGUUUAAAAGAAUAAAAACGGAUGUAAUAAUGAAUAUGAGUGGUUACUAGUAUGUAGAAGUGAUUUAAUCAAAUUAUUAAACACUAAA